AGAUGGGACUCUGAAGAGACCGCAUCGCUUAUUUUACGAGGCUGGCGGCACCGAAGGGGAUACAUGCCGGCAGGCAUAUAAGCUCUCAGGUAAAGAUAACAGGGGUAUGGAA
rnacentral:ncRNA from 2 species